rnacentral:rRNA from 1 species
GACGAACGCUGGCGGCGCGCUUAACACAUGCAAGUCGAACGGAAAGGCCCUGCUUUUGUGGGGUGCUCGAGUGGCGAACGGGUGAGUAACACGUGAGUAACCUGCCCUUGACUUUGGGAUAACUUCAGGAAACUGGGGCUAAUACCGGAUAUGAGCUCCUGCUGCAUGGUGGGGGUUGGAAAGUUUCGGCGGUUGGGGAUGGACUCGCGGCUUAUCAGCUUGUUGGUGGGGUAGUGGCUUACCAAGGCUUUGACGGGUAGCCGGCCUGAGAGGGUGACCGGCCACAUUGGGACUGAGAUACGGCCCAGAAUCCGACGGGAGGCAGCAGUGGGGAAUAUUGCACAAUGGGCGGAAGCCUGAUGCAGCAACGCCGCGUGCGGGAUGACGGCCUUCGGGUUGUAAACCGCUUUCGCCUGUGACGAAGCGUGAGUGACGGUAAUGGGUAAAGAAGCACCGGCUAACUACGUG